UACGGGGGGGGCUAGCGUUGUUCGGAAUUACUGGGCGUAAAGGGCGCGUAGGCGGCGUCGCAAGUCAGGCGUGAAAUCCCCGGGCUUAACCUGGGAAUUGCAUUCGAGACUGCAUUGCUGGAGUACGGAAGAGGAGGGCGGAAUUCCCGGUGUAGCGGUGAAAUGCGUAGAUAUCGGGAGGAACAUCAGUGGCGAAGGCGGCUCACUGGGCCGGUACCGACACUGAGGAGCGAAAGCGUGGGGAGCAAACAGG
rnacentral:rRNA from 1 species